AGAGUUUGAUCAUGGCUCAGAUUGAACGCUGGCGGCAGGCCUAACACAUGCAAGUCGAGCGGUAACAUGUCUAGCUUGCUAGAUGAUGACGAGCGGCGGACGGGUGAGUAAUGCUUGGGGAUCUGCCUUAGAGUGGAGGAUAACCAUUGGAAACGAUGGCUAAUACUGCAUAGUAUCUGCGGAUUAAAGGGGGCUUAGGCUCUUGCCUUAAGAUGAACCCAAGUGGGAUUAGCUAGUUGGUGAGGUAAUGGCUCACCAAGGCGACGAUCCCUAGCUGGUCUGAGAGGAUGAUCAGCCACACUGGAACUGAGACACGGUCCAGACUCCUACGGGAGGCAGCAGUGGGGAAUAUUGCACAAUGGGCGAAAGCCUGAUGCAGCCAUGCCGCGUGUGUGAAGAAGGCCCUAGGGUUGUAAAGCACUUUCAGUCAGGAGGAAAGGUUAGUAGUUAAUACCUGCUAGCUGUGACGUACUGACAGAAGAAGCACCGGCUAACUUCGUGCCAGCAGCCGCGGUAAUACGAGGGGUGCAAGCGUUAAUCGGAAUUACUGGGCGUAAAGCGAGCGUAGGCGGCUGAAUAAGCUGGAUGUGAAAAACCGGGGCUCAACCUCGGCCGUGCAUUCAGAACUGUUUAGCUAGAGUCCUGUAGAGGGGGGUAGAAUUUCA
rnacentral:rRNA from 1 species